rnacentral:rRNA from 1 species
UACGAGAGGCCCAAACGUUAUUCGGAAUUACUGGGCUUAAAGAGUUCGUAGGCGGCAUGAAAAGCAGGGUGUGAAAGCCCUCGGCUCAACCGAGGAAUUGCGCUCUGAACUGUCGUGCUUGAGGAACCUAGAGGUGAGCAGAACUGAUGGUGGAGCGGUGAAAUGCGUUGAUAUCAUCAGGAAUACCGGAGGCGAAGGCGGCUCACUGGGGGUUUUCUGACGCUGAGGAACGGAAAGCCAGGGGAACGAACGGG